rnacentral:sRNA from 1 species
GACCACCUGGAUUCGCAAAGGCCCAGCCUGCGCGAAAUAAAGGUCGAGGCCAUACGGACAGCCGGGUCAACUGCCGA